rnacentral:rRNA from 1 species
UAGGGAAUCUUCGGCAAUGGACGAAAGUCUGACCGAGCAACGCCGCGUGAGUGAAGAAGGUUUUCGGAUCGUAAAGCUCUGUUGUAAGAGAAGAACGAGUGUGAGAGUGGAAAGUUCACACUGUGACGGUAUCUUACCAGAAAGGGACGGCUAACUACGUGCCAGCAGCCGCGGUAAUACGUAGGUCCCGAGCGUUGUCCGGAUUUAUUGGGCGUAAAGCGAGCGCAGGCGGUUAGAUAAGUCUGAAGUUAAAGGCUGUGGCUUAACCAUAGUACGCUUUGGAAACUGUUUAACUUGAGUGCAAGAGGGGAGAGUGGAAUUCCAUGUGUAGCGGUGAAAUGCGUAGAUAUAUGGAGGAACACCGGUGGCGAAAGCGGCUCUCUGGCUUGUAACUGACGCUGAGGCUCGAAAGCGUGGGGAGCAAACAGGAUUAGAUACCCUGGUAGUCCACGCCGUAACGAUGAGUGCUAGGUGUUAGACCCUUUCCGGGGUUUAGUGCCGCAGCUAACGCAUUAAGCACUCCGCCUGGGGAGUACGACCGCAAGGUU